rnacentral:lncRNA from 10 species
GGAAGCCUGUGGUCCUUCUCAAUUUGACAGGCUGGUCUCGAACUCCUGACCUCAGGUGAUGCGCCCACCUCAGCCUCCCGAAGUGCUGGGAUUAUAGGUGUGAAGCACUGCGCCCGGCCUCCUUCCUUCUUAAGGCUGAAUAAUAUUCUGUUGUGUGGAUAGACCACAUUUCAUUUACCCAUUCAUCUGCCAUUCAUUUCCUUUUUUAAGUCAAUGAAGCAAGUUUACUUUCAUUUUAUUUUAUUUUUGAAAAACCUAUCAGAAAAUGUCUUGAGGAAAAUACAUUAAAAUGUUAUCUGUGGUCAUUUCUGGCUCUGGAAAGAUUUAAAGUGGUGUUUAAUUUACAUUACCUUCUGCUGGUCUCUGCUUUCUCAUUUUCCUACAGUGCAUUUUGUGGCAUGUGGUGGGUUUUAUAUAAUGCAUGUGUUGUGAGAGUUUAUGUGUGUGCACUGAUGAGUAUAUGUACCUGUGUGGGUGUGUUGUGCAGCUCACGAAUGUGUGGCAUGUGUGUAUGGGAUGUGUGUGUACCUGCUGUGAGGUGAUGGUGUGUG